UACGAAGGGGGCUAGCGUUGCUCGGAAUCACUGGGCGUAAAGGGUGCGUAGGCGGGUCUUUAAGUCAGGGGUGAAAUCCCGGGGCUCAACCUCGGAAUUGCCUUUGAUACUGUCUGUCUUGAGCUCGGGAGAGGUUGGCGGAAUUCCUAGUGUAGAGGUGAAAUUCGUAGAUAUUAGGAAGAACACCAGUGGCGAAGGCGGCCAACUGGCCCGAUACUGACGCUCAUGUACGAAAGCGUGGGGAGCAAACAGG
rnacentral:rRNA from 1 species